rnacentral:rRNA from 1 species
UGGGGAAUUGUUCGCAAUGGGCGCAAGCCUGACGACGCAACGCCGCGUGGAGGAUGAAGACCUUCGGGUCGUAAACUCCUUUCGAUCGAGACGAAUUCCCCUGGGGUGAACAAUCCCGGGGGUUGACGGUACCGAGAGAAGAAGCCCCGGCUAACUCCGUGCCAGCAGCCGCGGUAAUACGGGGGGGGCAAGCGUUGUUCGGAAUUACUGGGCGUAAAGGGCUCGUAGGCGGCCAAUUAAGUCAGACGUGAAAUCCCUCGGCUUAACCGGGGAAUUGCGUCUGAUACUGGAUGGCUUGAGUUUGGGAGAGGGAUGCGGAAUUCCAGGUGUAGCGGUGAAAUGCGUAGAUAUCUGGAGGAACACCGGUGGCGAAGGCGGCAUCCUGGACCAACACUGACGCUGAGGAGCGAAAGCCAGGGGAGCAAAC